CACACACACACACUCCACACCCCACGCGGCAUUUAGAGUCCCGGCCCCAGCGCACUCUCCCUUGGACAGUGGAACCAGAGGGGCAGGAAGGGUGGUCUUCCACGGUGGGGCCCGAGGAAGCCUCGAGGCCCUCAGAGGUGAGCGGGAUGGAGUGCGUGCUGGGAGCGCCUUGUGCUCUUUGCCACUUGUGUAAACGUUGCUGUCGACCAGGUUCUGUCCCCACUGACCGUCCACCCCUGGAGGGAGGCGUGGCCCCGUGACCGGCUUUGGCCAGUGGAUUUGACAGGUGAGAGGGGCCACAUCCCCGUGAAAGCAUCCGAGAACCGGUGUCUUCAUCUUCCCUUCCCCUGUGGCCUCCAGAGGUUGGGUCCCCAAAUGAGGCUGGCGUGGAGCAGAGCCCAGCCCGUGAUGGACAGGGAGUGAGAGUGACAGCCUUUGUGGGUUUAGGCACAGAUUUGGGGCUGUUUGUCACCACCACAUCGUUCACCCCCUCCUGCUGCCGGGCGCACUGAAGAGCCACACCCCACAAGGGCUGGACUCUCCGCUGAGACGAGUCGUGGGAUUUGGGCACGAAGCUGGCAGUGUGUCACAGAGGCUCGUGACCGGGAGGUGAGAACCUGCCCGCUGGCAGCCGUCCUGCAGCCUCUCAAAGCCCAGCCCUCCCGGCUGGUGUCCACCGAGGCCGCAGAGCCUUUCUGAGAAACACACGUCAGGAUGCAAUCGUGCAACAUGGAGCCGCCUGAAACACCAAGUUCGCGGGUAUGUGUGAGUGUCUUUGUGUCUUCCCUCUCUUUUCCAUCGGAAGAACAUAAGCUCAGGACAGUGACGGCCCUGGAAUGAGAACAGAAUGGGACUGGGAAACUUGUUUCUUCAUUUUCUGUCCCCGCCUCCUUACACCGGUCUCUUUGAAAAGCUGAAGGCAACACCCAAGUAACCACCUGGCAAAGAAGGUGCUGAGAACCGUCGGAUGAAUUCGUGCAUGACUGAAGACUCAGACCCUGCGCCCUUGGGCUCCCCGGGCCACGGACAGGACUGGGAGGCUGAGCACACUCAGACGGUGCAGGAGGUGCAGUGCGUGUCCAUCGCUUCACCCACACCCAGUACGGCAGAGGGUGUGGGGCCGGGGCUGGAGGGCGCUGGAGUCAUCCCGGGGGAGAAGCCGGGUAGGCAGCGGGGAGACACAGAGGCCUCAGGAUGUGAGGCAGCCUUGCCGAGUUUCCAGGCAGCUGAGGCAUGGGAGUGGGGAUGCCCAGGAGGGGCAGGAGAUGGAGUCCAGCCUGGGACCACCCCCUGUCGGGCAGCGGUGAGAAUGGGGACAAGCCCUGCCCCGGCAGGUCUCCGCCUUGUCCAGCAAAGGGGAGAGAAAUGACAAGACUGGUGCCACUGAUCCCCAGUGCCCCAUGUGCCCUGCAGCCUCAAGGAUUUCGUAUCUAUUAGCACAUUUAAUCCUCCUGGAUCCUCGUGGAGUAGCUACUGACUCCAGCCCCCGGACAGGAGGACUGAGCUCAGAGGACUCAGCGACUCAGCCCAGGACGGAGCCAGGACUCAACCGCUGCUCUCUCCCUGAGCUGGCUGCGCACACAGCAGCCUCUGCCCACGCCACCCUGCCUCCUUCCCGUGGAUGCUCAAUUUGGAGGAAUCACAGUUGGUCCAAGCCAGUCACAGCAACCGCCCCUCCUCUCCCCCACCC
rnacentral:lncRNA from 1 species